GCUGGCGGCGCGCAUAACACAUGCAAGUCGAGCGAGGGCUUAUUUCCCGCAAGGGAGAUGAGUUCCUAGCGGCGAACGGGUGAGUAACACGUGGGCAACCUUUCCUAUCGCGGGGGAUAACAGCGGGAAACCGCUGCUAAUACCGCAUGUCGUCACUGGUCGCAUGGCCGGUGAAGAAAGCAGCAAUGCACGAUGGGGUGGGCCCGCGGCCUAUCAGCUAGUCGGUGGGGUAACGGCCUACCGAGGCGAUGACGGGUAGCUGGUCUGAGAGGACGACCAGCCACACGGGGACUGAGACACGGCCCCGACUCCUACGGGAGGCAGCAGUGAGGAAUCUUCCGCAAUGGGCGAAAGCCUGACGGAGCGACGCCGCGUGUGGGAUGAAGUCCUUCGGGAUGUAAACCACUGUUGGAGGGGAAGACAACUGACGG
rnacentral:rRNA from 1 species